rnacentral:rRNA from 1 species
AUUGAACGCUGGCGGCAUGCCUUACACAUGCAAGUCGAACGGCAGCGGGGGAGAAGCUUGCUUUUCCUGCCGGCGAGUGGCGAACGGGUGAGUAAUACAUCGGAACGUGCCCUGUAGUGGGGGAUAACUAGUCGAAAGAUUAGCUAAUACCGCAUACGACCUGAGGGUGAAAGUGGGGGACCGCGAGGCCUCAUGCUAUAGGAGCGGCCGAUGUCUGAUUAGCUAGUUGGUGGGGUAAAGGCCUACCAAGGCGACGAUCAGUAGCUGGUCUGAGAGGACGAUCAGCCACACUGGGACGGAGACACGGCCCAGACUCCUACGGGAGGCAGCAGUGGGGAAUUUUGGACAAUGGGCGAAAGCCUGAUCCAGCAAUGCCGCGUGUGUGAAGAAGGCCUUCGGGUUGUAAAGCACUUUUGUCCGGAAAGAAAUGGCUCUGGUUAAUACCUGGGGUCGAUGACGGUACCGGAAGAAUAAGGACCGGCUAACUACGUGCCAGCAGCCGCCGUAA